ACAGAGGGUGCAAACGUUGUUCGGAAUCACUGGGCGUAAAGCGCGUGUAGGCGGCUUCUCAAGUCGGGUGUGAAAUCCCAGGGCUCAACCCUGGAAGUGCAUUCGAAACUGGGUAGCUAGAGUACUGGAGAGGAAGGUGGAAUGCUUGGUGUAGAGGUGAAAUUCGUAGAUAUCAAGCGGAACACCGGUGGCGAAGGCGGCCUUCUGGACAGAUACUGACGCUGAGACGCGAAAGCGUGGGGAGCAAACAGGAUUAGAUACCCUGGUAGUCCACGCCGUAAACGAUGAGUGCUAGAUGUCAGGAGCUUUGACCCUCUUGGCGUCGUAGCUAACGCAAUAAGCACUCCGCCUGGGGAGUACGGCCGCAAGGCUA
rnacentral:rRNA from 1 species